rnacentral:rRNA from 1 species
UACGUAGGGGGCUAGCGUUGUCCGGAAUCAUUGGGCGUAAAGAGCGUGUAGGCGGUCCGGUAAGUCCGCUGUGAAAGUCGGGGGCUCAACCCUCGAAUGCCGGUGGAUACUGUCGGGCUAGAGUGCGGAAGAGGCGAGUGGAAUCCUGGUGUAGCGGUGAAAUGCGCAGAUAUCAGGAGGAACACCUAUGCGAAGGCAGCUCGCUGGGACGUAACUGACGCUGAGACGCGAAAGCGUGGGGAGCAAACAGG